rnacentral:miRNA from 1 species
UUUGGUAUAAGCAUACAUUGCUCUGUCAUCUGUGUCCUAUCUGGGUUGAAUGGACCGUGUGUCUGUUUCUCCCAGG